rnacentral:rRNA from 1 species
CAGCAGCCGCGGUAAUACGAAGGGGGCUAGCGUUGCUCGGAAUGACUGGGCGUAAAGGGCGCGUAGGCGGUUUUGACAGUCAGAUGUGAAAUUCCUGGGCUUAACCUGGGGGCUGCAUUUGAGACGUCAAGACUAGAGUGUGAGAGAGGGUUGUGGAAUUCCCAGUGUAGAGGUGAAAUUCGUAGAUAUUGGGAAGAACACCGGUGGCGAAGGCGGCAACCUGGCUCAUUACUGACGCUGAGGCGCGAAAGCGUGGGGAGCAAACAGGAUUAGAUACCCCCGUAGUCCCUGUCUCUUAUAC